AUAUCAAAGUUAAGUGUUUUAAUUAUCUUGUAAGACUAUGUCCUUGGAUCCUAUGCUGUAUGCCAAUAUUUAUACAUGUUGAAUAUGCUUUCAUUUAACUUACAUAGCCAUAAUGCUUAACUUUAAUCAGAGAUUCCUUACUAAUUCUGAUGAAUGUUGGUAGAAAAUAUGCUGAAAAUAAAAUAUGUUAGAAUAAUUUUCAAUGAAAGGAUAAAAGGAAAGAAGCUAGCAGAAGAGCCAGCACCACAGAAAGCAAAGUCACAUUCUGGAUCCAAGCAACAUUUCCAUGAGCAAAGAACCAGCAAAUUGGAUUCACGAGACAGGGAGCAGAAGCAAGAGUGUGAAGAGGAAAUUGACUUUUUUUUGUUUUUUAUUUGUUUUCUCAUGAGGAGAGUAUACUAGUAGUAGAAAAAAGUUACAUGACUGAUUCCAGAGAGACACAGGUAGAAUAUCUGGACCCUCUGUAUAGGAUAGCUAGUGAUUAUAUUGUGUGUUCUGGAGGUAAGAUUUGUAUAAAUUCAAGCCUACAAUAGUAUCAAGGCCUAUUAAGCAAACAUCCAUUAGACAGCAUGAAAGACUAAGAGGCUUUCAAACUACAAGUGUCAAUAGUUAAAUGUGAAGCAAGUACAUAUAGACAUUUGAUACUAUGACAAAAUAAUGAGAGGUUUAUCAUAAUAUAAUUUAAUAUUUUGUUCUUCAGUUUAGUAAUUAUAUAAAGCUACAUGCUAGUUUUUCACAACUUAACCAAUCCUCUUUAAUAUAUUUUUAUGAAAUUUCCUGCUAUACUUGGGAUACAGUUUAGAGUGUAAACUCAUUUUGUAGGAUUUUUUUUAAAAAAUCCUGAAACAACAUAGUGAUAAAUUUAAAUAGUUUUGCCAGUUGAAUCAUGUAUGUGAUAAAAAGGCUUUAUAUUUUUGAUUCCUAAAUCAGGGUAUGACAGUACAAAUCAUAAAUCAAGUAUUCUUAUGUCCAUUGUAUAAAUAUAGAAUAAUGCCCAAACCUUUUUUGAAUGUGAGGGUAUGUCAUGAGCAUCAAAAGGGGAAAAAAAAGUAUGAAAAUCCCUAAGAGUUUUACUCUGGAAAGUCAUAUAGAUUGUGCAUUCUUUAGCUGACAUUUUAAAACAGAUACCUGAAAUCAUUUGCUUAACCCCUUUGAAUAAUAUACUAUUGCCUUUAAGAGAAAUUCUGUAAUCUACUAAAGGUCCUUUUCGUAUAGCCCUGACCUCUCUCCAGUCACGUGCCGUUACUGGUGUCUGUGACCCAAACACACUAGUUGUCUCUCGAUUUCGCUAAGACGUUCUGCAUUCUUUCUUCUCACAGCUUUUAUGUCUAUUGCUUCUUCAAGGCAUACUUCUCUAAUAUUUACUAGCUACUAUUAUUUUGAAUGAGUUUAAUGGUUUAUUUUCG
rnacentral:lncRNA from 10 species